UACGCAGGUGGCAAGCGUUGUCCGGAUUUACUGGGCGUAAAGAGCGCGCAGGCGGUCGUUCAAGUCGCGUGUGAAAGCCCCCGGCUCAACUGGGGAGGGUCACGCGAUACUGAUCGACUCGAAGGCAGGAGAGGGUAGUGGAAUUCCCGGUGUAGUGGUGAAAUGCGUAGAUAUCAGGAGGAACACCGAUGGCGAAGGCAGGUCUCUGGGCCGAUACUGACGCUGAGGAGCGAAAGCGUGGGGAGCGAACAGG
rnacentral:rRNA from 1 species